AUUGAACGCUGGCGGCAGGCCUAACACAUGCAAGUCGAGCGGUUGACGGGAGCUUGCUCCCUGAUUCAGCGGCGGACGGGUGAGUAAUGCCUAGGAAUCUGCCUAUUAGUGGGGGACAACGUUUCGAAGGGAACGCUAAUACCGCAUACGUCCUACGGGCUAAAGCAGGGGACCUUCGGGCCUUGCGCUAAUAGAUGAGCCUAGGUGGGAUUAGCUUGUUGGUGAGGUAAUGGCUCACCAAGGCGACGAUCCGGAACUGGUCUGAGAGGAUGAUCAGUCACACUGGAACUGAGACACGGUCCAGACUCCUACGGGAGGCAGCAGUGGGGAAUAUUGGACAAUGGGCGAAAGCCUGAUCCAGCCAUGCCGCGUGUGUGAAGAAAGUCUUCGGAUUGUAAAGCACUUUAAGUUGGGAGGAAGGGUUGUAGAUUAAUACUCUGCAAUUUUGACGUUACCGACAGAAUAAGCACCGGCUAACUCUGUGCCAGCCGCCGCCGUAACAC
rnacentral:rRNA from 1 species